rnacentral:lncRNA from 10 species
GAUUGAUGGAGCUUCCGGAAGUCUUGGCGGCUGUACCAGCGCUAAUGUUCCUCCUUUUCCUGAGGUGGAGUGGGCCGAAGAGGUGGUCAGGUUGGGAAAUUUAGUGAGAAGCCUGGGUGGGGUGUUGCUGCGGUAGCCAUGUUAUAACCUGGCAAAUGGGACGCAUGAUAGUGACGUAAUUGCUGGAGUAGCUCCUGAGUUUCCGCAGAUGAGCCGCGGGAAAGGAGACGAGGGGCGGUGGCCAGGCGGUUGCCCUGACAACGGGGAACCGACCGACUCUUCCCGGUAGGGAGAGGCGAUGGCGGAAUUACUCCUCUAAUGUCAAGGUACUGGGUACCAGUUAGUACCCUUGUAGUGGGAUACAGAUCUGUGGUCUUUGGAGAAAAAAACCCCAGAUCAUUAGAGUUGGAGGAAAAUUGAAUUAUCUAGUGCCUCUUUCUUCAUAAAUGGGGAAACUGAGGUGCAGAGAGGCA